rnacentral:rRNA from 1 species
CCUACGGGGGGCAGCAGUAAGGAAUAUUGGACAAUGGCCGCAAGGCUGAUCCAGCCAUGCCGCGUGAAGGAUGAAGGUGCUAUGCAUUGUAAACUUCUUUUGUCCCGGAAUAAACCCCUGAUUUCUAUCGGGGCUGAAUGUACGGGAAGAAUAAGGGACGGCUAACUUCGUGCCAGCAGCCGCGGUAAUACGAAGGUCCCAAGCGUUAUCCGGAUUUAUUGGGUUUAAAGGGUGCGUAGGCGGGUUGUUAAGUCAGUGGUGAAAGCCUACAGCUCAACUGUAGAAUUGCCAUUGAUACUGACGAUCUUGAGUAUGGUUGAGGAGGGCGGAAUGUGUCAUGUAGCGGUGAAAUGCUUAGAUAUGACACAGAACACCGAUUGCGAAGGCAGCUCUCUAAGCCAAUACUGACGCUGAUGCACGAAAGCGUGGGGAGCAAACAGGAUUAGAUACCCUAGUAGUC